CGACCAGCGCGCGCAUGCCUGCUAGCAGGGUAGGGUGUACCGCACAGGUGCCCUUCCUGUGGAAGCCUCACUGCCGGGCAGUUACGACAGUCCGCUAGACUUACGUCACGGAGGAGGUUUUGGGCGGGGCUGACAUCACCGUCCGGCCUUUGUGUGCAUGCGUGGCGCGUGGCGUUGGGGAGGGUGGAAUGGACCCCCGAGGUGGAUCGUGGGCGUUAUCCUGCUAAGGUAACGGCUCUUGCGCUCGCUGACGUCGGGCCUAGGAGGAUGGCGUUUUUCCUUCCGGGCCACUUCCCUUCAGCUGGCGACCUUUACACGCACUUGGUCAGACUUUCACUUCUGGUGCCAGCGGCACCCGGAGAGCGAGCCUGGAGUCAGGCGUUAGGACGGUUGGACACGUGCACCUGACCUUUCUCCCUCCGCCCUGGGACUUUAAGUCACCUUCCAGGGCGGGGACGGGCACUGCGGGCGCGCAGAGGCUGGAUCGGAGCUCUGGCCCCUCACCUGCCAACACCAGUUUCUCCCUCGAGGAAGCAGCACUGUCACACGAUGAGCACUUUCUUUGAAAUCUAGGCCGAUUGCACCACCUGUCACCUAGGUGAAGGUCAUGCUCAGGAAGCGAAGGUGGCUGCAGUCAUAUUAGAGCGCUGGCUUGAUCGCCACAGCGUCCGGCUGUGCACUUUCCCUCCAACCAGCUCCCCUGCCGACGUGCUCAGGAUUGCUGAUCUCUCCAUUGACAGAGAGGCUAGAACAAAACUGAACAAGGUACUGAAGAGGUCGAGAGAGCAGUGCUUCCAUCAAGAGAACACAACAACGGUCCCAUUGAACUGGAAGUUGAAGGGAUGAGGGUGUGUUGGUGAUAGGUUUAUUAAGUGCAGACAUGUGGACUAUCGUGACAAGAUUAUGACCGAACUAGACAGGAGUGAAUGUACACAGAGAUCCUAGACUUGGAGCUGGAUGCAGGAACUGAUGAGAUGUUGGGUCUUCCCUUUUGAGGAGACCGGAACAGAUCUAUGCAAGAUCAAGAUGGUGAAAGCUGAGAUGGAAGAAGAAAGAAGAGUCAAGUCUGUUGAGAGCCAGUGUGUAGUCUGACAAAGAGAACUCAUUGAGGGCCAAAAAAAUCUUCACAUUCUUGAAGGGCUGCUAUCAUGGAGAUGACUGAUUUUCUUAUUUUACAUGGCUUCAGAGGGAAGAACCAGGAUCAGCAGGUGGAAAUUACAAGGGGGAAUUUUCUCAGUAGGAAGAAAAUUAUCUAAUAAUCAGAAACAUUCCAAAUGGACUUCCUGUGAGGUAGUGAUGUUCCAGACUUGCUGUCUGAUUUCUUAAUGAAAUAAUUCUUAAAUGAAGAGGUCUUAAAGAAAUAAUUCUAAAUGAAAUUAAAUUAAAAAAUAAAAACAAACAAACAAAACAACCACACGGGCUAGUUUUUCACCCAUCCAAGUGUGAAAUUACUCCACCCCCUCAAAAUGAUUCAAGUAAAUACAAUGCAGAAAAGCUGGCACUAAGAUCUUGGAGAAUUUGUUUUACCUAUUACUUCAUACAUAACAUGGGAAUAGUAAUAGUACUAUCUUUUAGGGUUGUUGUGAGGAUUAAAAGAAUCCUAU